rnacentral:lncRNA from 12 species
CACGCAGGGACUUUGGCCCGGUUACUCAAGGCCUUUGUGCCUGGAAUUCUGGAAGGUUCUCUCAGCAGGGCCGCUUCCCCCUUGUCAUUCAGCGUCAGCCAGGUUCCCCUUGCUUCUGGGCCCUGGGUGGCCACAGGGGAUGGAUUUCCCGUCAACUGAAGAACUCUAAAUGCGUAAUUACGGAGCCGGCCUGAGUUAUUUGGCGGCUGGGGGAGGAGGCGCGCGCCCUGUCCUCCGCUCGGCUCCUCGCAAUUUAUUCUGCUCCCCCCGGCUGGAGGCGGCGAGCCCGGCGCGGGCCGACCUGUCAUCGCGGCGUUAUCACCGAGCGCACCCCCUUCCUUACCGGGCUGCGAGGCCGCCGCAAAUUGCUAUUUUUAUGGCAUAUGAUAAAGACGCCACAGAAUGUCUAGUUGUGGUGAAAAAAACAGAGUGAAGAAGUGAGCAGGUCUUGGAGAUCACAUGAUGCCUGGGUUUCUGUCUGCAUGGUACCUGUCUUCACCACUUAAUCGCACAACCUCCGGAAGGAAAUGCUGUGGAACUGUGGGGAGAUGGCUUGUCCAGGCUGUGAGGAGACUGGGGUUGUGUCCUAGUACGUCGACUUUUAUUGGUGUGACCUCUAACAAUCCUUUGACCCUCUCUGGGCCUUCUCUUGUUGGUGGAUUAAAUAAGAGGUUGGAUUCCAGAGGCUCUUAAAGGUCCUGCCUGUCUCUAACAUCCAAUUAUGCGAGGUCUCUAAUGCCUUUAAUUGCAGGAUCCAUGCCCAAUGUGUCUCUCUGGAGCAGCACAGUGUAUAGGGCACUCAAUGAAAGAUUGUUGGGUUGACUUGAGCUGAGAGAGUUGUCCAAGGUGAGCUGAAGGUCGGGCUGGAAAUGAAGCAUUGGAAUCCAUAAUAAAUAUUUGCGGCCAAGGGAGAGCUGUAUUGGG